UUAGAGAAAGAUCUACAAAAGGAAAUUAACUCUGUAAACCAGAGAUUUAAUAUUUCUAUCGAAAAAGUUAAAGAACCUUAUAGACAGCCUAACAUUCUUGCAGAAUAUAUAGCUUUCCAAUUAAAAAAUAGAGUUUCAUUCCAAAAGGCAAUGAAAAAAGCCAUUGAAUUAACUAAAAAAGCAGAUAUAAGGGGAGUCAAAGUAAAAAUUGCGGGUCGUCUCGGAUUUCCAUUUUAG
rnacentral:rRNA from 1 species